rnacentral:rRNA from 1 species
CCUACGGGAGGCAGCAGUGGGGAAUAUUGCACAAUGGGGGAAACCCUGAUCCAGCGACGCCGCGUGAGCGAUGAAGUAUUUCGGUAUGUAAAACUCUAUCAGCAGGGAAGAAAAUGACGGUACCUGACUACGAAGCCCCGGCUAACUACGUACCAGCAGCCGCGGUACUACGUCGGGGGCCAGCGUUCUCCGGAUUUACUGGGUGUAAAGGGAGCGUAGACGGUCCUGCAAGCCAGAUGUGAAAGCCCGGGGCUCAACCCCGGGACUGCAUUUGGAACUGGAAGGCUAGAGUGUCGGAGAGGUAGGCGGAAUUCCUAGUGUAGCGGUGAAAUGCGUAGAUAUUAGGAGGAACACCAGUGGCGAAGGCGGCCUGCUGGACGAUGACUGACGUUGAGGCUCGAAAGCGUGGGGAGCAAACAGGAUUAGAUACCCUUGUAGUC